rnacentral:rRNA from 4 species
UACGGCGGUCAUAGCGGAGGGGAUACACCCGUUCCCAUGCCGAACACGGAAGUUAAGCCUUCCAGCGUAUUGGACUGUACUACCUUCUGGUGGGAACUCCAAUUCGCCGCCGGCU